rnacentral:rRNA from 1 species
UCCUACAGCCAUACUACCCUCAAAACACCUGAUCUCAGAAGUGAAGCAGGGUCAGGCCUGGUUAGUACCCGGCCGGGAGAAGAUGGCACAAUGAACUCCCUGGUACCCGUCACUC